ACCCCGCCGGCGCUCGCCCCUCACCACCCCGGACCCCGCCGUCCACCUAGUGCGGGUCUCGCCGGGACCCCGCCCCGGGGCCGCCCAGUCGGGGAGCGCUCCGCCCCUUCUGCCCGCUCCGCCUCCGGCCCCGCCCCGGCCCGGGGCGGCCGCUGGGCGGUGCCCUCCGCAGACCGGACGCGCUGCGGAGUCACUUCUCCGUGUUAAGCUCGCGGGGUGCCGAGCUGCCCGAGACCCCCCAGACGGUUCCGCUUUCCCGAGGGUUGGAGAUGAAAACUUGGAAGGACGUUAAGGACCCAACUUCGUUUACGUGCGUCCUCCUCGUCUUACCUGGGGACACAGGCUUUGGCCGUCACUGAGGGGUCACUGAGGGGCCAGAAUGGCCCGGGGUCGGCUCACUUCCCGCCCUUUCCCGAAGCUGAGUGGGGGAGUGGGGGGGUGGGGGGGUGGGGGGGGCGCCCCUCCCCGCCACCCGGGCCUUAGCCCUCCAAGCCCCUGGAAGUCCCGCCCUUCACCACUUCAGAGGGAACGUUUUUUCUUAAGGCGGUUAAAUAGAUUCUGUGAUCAAAGAAGGUAGACGCGGCAGAAAAUGAAGGGGCGGGGUGUGUUCUCCAAGCUCUCAGAAUCGCAGAAGCAGGUCCCGGUCAUGGAGCAGAAAAAAGCCACAAAAAUGCAACGCCAGAAUCGACGGUGGCUGGUUUGGCACCGUGAACCUCAGCCAGGCUUCCAGGC